AGUAUGAUUGCUGGAUCAUAUGGUAAAAGUAUAUUUAGUUUUGUAAGCAACCACCAAACUGUCUUCCAAAGCAGCUGUACCAUUUUGCAUUCCCACCAGCAAU
rnacentral:pre_miRNA from 1 species